AAACGACUGCUAAUACCGCAUGAUGUCUACGGACCAAAGUGGGGGACCUUCGGGCCUCACGCCAAAAGAUUAGCCCAAGUGGGAUUAGCUAGUUGGUAAGGUAAUGGCUUACCAAGGCAACGAUCCCUAGCUGGUUUGAGAGGAUGAUCAGCCACACUGGGACUGAGACACGGCCCAGACUCCUACGGGAGGCAGCAGUGGGGAAUAUUGCACAAUGGGCGCAAGCCUGAUGCAGCCAUGCCGCGUGUGUGAAGAAGGCCUUCGGGUUGUAAAGCACUUUCAGUCAGGAGGAAAGGGUGUGUUUUAAUAGAGCAUAUCUGUGACGUUACUGACAGAAGAAGCACCGGCUAACUCCGUGCCAGCAGCCGCGGUAAUACGGAGGGUGCGAGCGUUAAUCGGAAUUACUGGGCGUAAAGCGUACGCAGGCGGUUUGUUAAGCGAGAUGUGAAAGCCCCGGGCUCAACCUGGGAACUGCAUUUCGAACUGGCAAACUAGAGUGUGAUAGAGGGUGGUAGAAUUUCAGGUGUAGCGGUGAAAUGCGUAGAGAUCUGAAGGAAUACCGAUGGCGAAGGCAGCCACCUGGGU
rnacentral:rRNA from 1 species